UCGCCCUGUUUAACAAAAACAUUUCCUUUAGUAGUAAAUAAAAGGUAGGACCUGCCCGGUGUAAUAAUAAACGGCUGCGGUAUCUUGACCGUACGAAGGUAGCAUAAUAAGUAGUCUUUUAAAUGGAGACUGGAAUGAAUGGUUUAAUGAAAAGUUUACUGUUUUAUUAAGAAUAUAUAGAAUUUGAUUAGUAAGUGAAAAGGCUUACAUUAACAAAGUGACAAGAAGACCCUAAGAGCUUGAUACUUAUAUUUUAGUUAUUAAUUAGUUGGAUGUAAUAUAAAGUAGAGUGUAGGUGUUUGACUGGGGCGGUUGAAAGUAUAUCAAUUAUUGAGGAUUACUAAAAUUGUAGAAAUAAUUAUGAGAGGAAUAUCCUAGUUGGAAUUCAUUAGUAGUUACCUUAGGGAUAACAGCAUAAUCUUUUUUGAGAGAUCGUAUUGACAAAAAGGUUUGUGACCUCGAUGUUGGAUUUAGAUAACUGUAGGGAGCAGAAUUUCUAUAAGUUGGUCUGUUCGACCAUUAAUUUUCUAACGUGAUCUGAGUUCAAACCGGA
rnacentral:rRNA from 1 species